GGGAAGGUGGCUCAGUGGUAGAGCGCUUGCCUUGCAUGCAUGAGGCUCUGGGUU
rnacentral:tRNA from 1 species